UACGAAGGGGGGCUAGCGUUGCUCGGAAUCACUGGGCGUAAAGCGCACGUAGGCGGGUUCUUAAGUCAGGGGUGAAAUCCUGGAGCUCAACUCCAGAACUGCCUUUGAUACUGGGAAUCUCGAGUCCGGGGAGAGGUGAGUGGAACUGCGAGUGUAGAGGUGAAAUUCGUAGAUAUUCGCAAGAACACCAGUGGCGAAGGCGGCUUACUGGUCCGGUUCUGACGCUGAGGCGCGAAAGCGUGGGGAGCAAACAGG
rnacentral:rRNA from 1 species